GUGUCAGCCGCCGCGGUAAUACGAAGGGGGCUAGCGUUGUUCGGAAUUACUGGGCGUAAAGCGCGCGUAGGCGGUGAUCUUUGUCAGAGGUGAAAGCCCGGGGCUCAACUCCGGAAUUGCCUUUGAAACGGGAUCGCUAGAGUCCGAGAGAGGAUGGCGGAAUUCCUAGUGUAGAGGUGAAAUUCGUAGAUAUUAGGAAGAACACCGGUGGCGAAGGCGGCCAUCUGGCUCGGUACUGACGCUCAGGCGCGAAAGCGUGGGGAGCAAACAGGAUUAGAUACCCCAGUAGUCC
rnacentral:rRNA from 1 species